rnacentral:rRNA from 1 species
AGUUAACGUUGGCGGCGUGCCUAACACAUGCAAGUCGAACGCGUCCUAAGGGCAACUUUAGGAUGAGUGGCGAACGGGUGAGUAUCACGUGGGGUAAUCUUCCUUCAAGUGGGGAAUAAGGCUCUCGAAAGGGAGUCUAAUACCGCAUGACAUUCCGGGACACAAGUCCCGUAAUCAAAGCCGCAAGGCGCUUGAAGAUGAGCCUGCGUCCUAUUAGCUAGUUGGUGGGGUAACGGCCUACCAAGGCUUAGAUGGGUAGCCGGCCUGAGAGGGUGAACGGCCACACUGGGACUGAGACACGGCCCAGACUCCUACGGGAGGCAGCAGUGAGGAAUUUUGCGCAAUGGGGGAAACCCUGACGCAGCGACGCCGCGUGGAGGAUGAAGGCCUUCGGGUCGUAAACUCCUGUCAGAGGUGAAGAAUACCCGCAAGGGUUGACGGUAACCUCAGAGGAAGCCCCGGCUAACUACGUAGCCAGCAGCCGCGGUAAAACGUCAACGUCG